UACGAAGGGGGCUAGCGUUGUUCGGAAUUACUGGGCGUAAAGCGCGCGUAGGCGGUUUUGCAAGCCAGAGGUGAAAUGCCUGAGCUCAACUUAGGAAUUGCCUUUGGGACUGCGAGGCUUUGAGGACGGGAGAGGUGAGUGGAAUUCCCAGUGUAGAGGUGAAAUUCGUAGAUAUUGGGAAGAACACCGGUGGCGAAGGCGGCUCACUGGCCCGUUUCUGACGCUGCAGCGCGAAAGCGUGGGGAUCAAUCAGG
rnacentral:rRNA from 1 species